ACCCACAGCUCUGCAGCCUUCUCUGGAUGCUGUUUCAGGCGAACAGCACGUGAAACAAGCCUGCAGCUGUGACUCUUCAGGCAUUGUAUGCACAACGAGGACAUUCAUGCAGCCGAACGAAAUCUGGAAACAGCCCACUGCAGCAGGAAGAUUUCUGGUUCGCCAGAGAUGUUUUGCUUUCCUCCUUCUUGCCUGUCCUGAAAUUUAAGAAGUUCCUGGUGUGAGCAAAGGACGGAUCUGUUGGAAGGGACAGAUGUGGACUGUUAUUUAUUUGUAGGCCUGAAGGCCUUUGAUACCAUUUUGUGGCAGAACAUUUUCAUUUUUAUCUCCUUGA